rnacentral:rRNA from 1 species
CCUACGGGUGGCUGCAGUGGGGAAUAUUGCACAAUGGGCGAAAGCCUGAUGCAGCGACGCCGCGUGAGGGAUGAAGGUCUUCGGAUUGUAAACCUCUGUCAGCAGGGAAGAACGGUCUCCGUGUUAAUCACCAGUCAAUUGACGGUACCUGCAAAGGAAGCACCGACUAACUACGUGCCAGGAGCCGCGGUAAUACGGAGGGGGCGAGCGUUAAUCGGAUUUACUGGGCGUAAAGAGCUCGUAGGCGGUAGGUCAAGUCAAGGGUGAAAUCCCCGCGCUCAACGUGGGAACUGCCUUUGAAACUGGCAAGCUGGAGUGUGGGAGAGGAUAGUGGAAUUCCAGGUGUAGGAGUGAAAUGCGUAGAUAUCUGGAGGAACAUCAGUGGCGAAGGCGACUAACUGGAACAUAACUGACGCUGAGGAGCGAAAGCGUGGGUAGCAAACAGGAUUAGAUACCCUUGUAGUC